GGAGUCUAAAGUUAGUCCUUAGUCUACAAAAUGAAAAGGCAUACAUUAACUUCUUUUUUUAAUAUUUAGUUUUUAGUUAUAAGUGUAUGACACAAUAUCUUCAUUUUUAUUUUUAUGUGGUACUGAGGAUUGAACCCAGUUCCUCAUGCAUGGUAGGCAAGUGCUCUACCUCUGAGCCACAACCCUAGCCGCAUUAACUUCUUAAUUACUUGAUACUCUUCCUUAAACCUGAAGGGUGUUUUAUUUUAUUUUAAAAAGACAACUUCUGUGUGCCUUUUUAAACUUGCAUACAGAUUUUGUACUUUUGUUAUUUGUCCUCUUGGGAAGGAGGUAGAAUAUUAGUGCAUUGGUGCUACUUUUUAUUGCAAUUCAGUUCACUGCAGAAAGUAUACACACACACAUAAAAGAAAUGCCUGUGAAGUCCAUACAACAACUACUACUACUUAGUGUCUAUAAAUCAAUAAAAGUUACUUGGCUUUGAUUGUACUUAUUUUAGAGUUCACCUUAGCCUUCGAUGAUUCGAAACAAACCAAUUUUAAUUUCUAUGAAAAAGUUGUGCAUAUUCUAAUAUUGUGCCAUUGAAUUUUCACACUUUUUGAACCAAGUAUCCCUGUAAGUUUAUAAGAAAUACAAUAAAAC
rnacentral:lncRNA from 1 species